UGGAUCAUAAAGGUUACUGGGAAAUGAAUGGAUUCGGUUUAAUGAGCAUUUAUAAAUCAGACUGGGUACGGUUCAAAGGAAUGAACACUGAGGACUACAAGUACAAGUGGGGCGGAGAGGACUGGGACUUACUAGACCGUGUUAUUAAUGCUGAGCUAAAAGUCGUUCGAAUAAAGCAUGCGGGUCUAUAUCAUCAUUAUCAUACGAAACACAAGUCUUGGAACUAACGAGUCCAACACAGAAAAUUCCCCUUACUGCUGUCGAGGACUGGAGUAGAUAUAUAUUGUUGACAAUCGAUGUUCCGUUAACCGUUAUGAACGCACGCGUUCGAUCUGCUCGAACGGCGCGCCGGGCGGGAGCCAAGGAGACUGGGUCCACCACACGAAAUCGAGACUUGUUAGAGAACUUUCCAGCGAAAAAAUGACGAGAAGACCUUUUUCUUUUGUUCCGCAACUAGGAGGAGCACUGGUGCUUUCUCCAGCUGGUUGAUUUGCAUGUGUUCGUUAAUUCUACAAUAUCUUUAACAAUGUUUCAGAAUCUCAAGGGAGAUAUCUGGAAUGUUUAUGUUUUAUAGUUUUCGGGCUAACAAACACAGAACUAAAGUUAUUAUCUCAUAGCAUGAUUUGGUUUAGAUCUGGUCUUUGCCAUGAGAUAAAAUAAAUUUAAAGGUACCUCCAUUGAA